AAGGGUAUGCGUAGUAGCGGCGAGCGAGCGGGAGAGCUCAAAUUUAUAAUCUGGCACCUUCGGUGUCCGAGUUGUAAUCUCUACAAAUGUUUUCCGCGUUGGACCGCACACAAGUCUGUUGGAAUACAGCGGCAUAGUGGUGAGACCCCCGUAUAUGGUGCGGACGCCCACCGCUUUGUGAUACAUUUUCGAAGAGUCAAGUUGUUUGGGAAUGCAGCUCAAAUUGGGUGGUAAAUUCCAUCUAAAGCUAAAUAUUGGCGAGAGACCGAUAGCGAACAAGUACCGUGAGGGAAAGAUGAAAAGCACUUUGGAAAGAGAGUUAACAGUACGUGAAAUUGUUGGAAGGGAAACGCUUGAAGUCAGACUUGCUUGCCGAGCAAUCGGUUUGCAGGCCAGCAUCAGUUUUCCGGGAUGGAUAAUGGUAGAGAGAAGGUAGCAGUUUCGGCUGUGUUAUACCUCUCUGCUGGAUACAUCUUGGGGGACUGAGGAACGCAGUGUGCCUUUGGCGGGGGUUUCGACCUCUUCACCCUUAGGAUGCUGGUGGAAUGGCUUUAAACGACCCGUCUUGACCC
rnacentral:rRNA from 1 species